AUUGUUGUUAAAGACCUCUCUGACAUCUUUAUCUAAAAAAACAAUGUGUAAACUGAGUCUGAACUAUCAAUGCAAUGCAACCCUACCAGACAGCCUCACACCAACAACAGCGAGUGUCUCAUGAUGAAAUGAUCUCCUAGUCAAGAAGCUUUAAAAUCACACAGAGUCUUCAAGAGUGAUUUCUCAGAAAAACAGCGGAAGCCACCACAAAUUGGCAGAGGUGGGGGCAAGUCACACAUGUUCAAGUCUCA